CCUGAUUACCCAUAGGAGGUCCAGCCUGCCCAGUGACUAAGUUAAACGGCCGCGGUACCCUAACCGUGCAAAGGUAGCGCAAUCACUUGUUCUUUAAAUGAGGACUAGUAUGAACGGCAUCACGAGGGUUAUGCUGUCUCCCUACUCUAUUCAGUGAAACUGAUCUCCCCGUGAAGAAGCGGGGAUAAAGAUAUAAGACGAGAAGACCCCAUGGAGCUUUAAACUCAGUACCAACUGCCCUCAUAAUAACCUAUUACCCUUGCAGCCAUGGUUACUAGUUUUCGGUUGGGGUGACCACGGAGUAAAAUUUAACCUCCACGAUGAAAGGAACUAAUAUCCUAACCUAUGAGCUACAGCUCUAAGUAUCAACAAAUUGACUAAUUGACCCAAUUACUUGAUCAACGGACCA
rnacentral:rRNA from 1 species